rnacentral:misc_RNA from 1 species
ACUUGCGUCUUCCUAAACAUUUUGCAAUCGCAAACGGUCUUACCAACAAGAAAUGUGAUCUGAUUGUAAGAGAUGAAAGACAAAGAUCAUGGAAUUUAAGGCUUGUUGCCUAUGAUUCAUGUGUCCGUGUAUAUGGUGAAUGGAGUAACUUCUGCAUUGUGAAUAACUUAAAAAAGGGAGAUUAUGUGACAUUUGAGAUCGUUCCUUAUGGAGAAAAAAUUUGCAUAUCUUCCCAUGGAUUUUGUAAAA